UACGAAGGGGGCUAGCGUUGUUCGGAAUUACUGGGCGUAAAGCGCGCGUAGGCGGACCUGCAAGUCGGGGGUGAAAGCCCGAGGCUCAACCUCGGAACUGCCUUCGAUACUGCGGGUCUCGAGUCCGGGAGAGGUGAGUGGAAUUCCUAGUGUAGAGGUGAAAUGUGUAGAGAUCGGGAGGAACACCGGUGGCGAAGGCGGGUCUCUGGGCAUCUCCUGACGCUGAGGCGCGAAAGCGUGGGGAGCAAACGGG
rnacentral:rRNA from 1 species